AGCCCGGUGGUGUAGCGGCCAAGCAUGGCGGGCUUUGGCCCCGCCGACCCGGGUUCGAAUCCCGGCCGGGCUACCA
rnacentral:tRNA from 1 species